GAUGAACGCUGGCGGCGUGCCUAAUACAUGCAAGUCGAGCGAACGGACGAGAAGCUUGCUUCUCUGAUGUUAGCGGCGGACGGGUGAGUAACACGUGGAUAACCUACCUAUAAGUCUGGGAUAAUUUCGGGAAACCGGAGCUAAUACCGGAUAAUAUUUUGAACCGCAUGGUUCAAAAGUGAAAGACGGUCUUGCUGUCACUUAUAGAUGGAUCCGCGCUGCAUUAGCUAGUUGGUAAGGUAACGGCUUACCAAGGCAACGAUGCAUAGCCGACCUGAGAGGGUGAUCGGCCACACUGGAACUGAGACACGGUCCAGACUCCUACGGGAGGCAGCAGUAGGGAAUCUUCCGCAAUGGGCGAAAGCCUGACGGAGCAACGCCGCGUGAGUGAUGAAGGUCUUCGGAUCGUAAAACUCUGUUAUUAGGGAAGAACAUAUGUGUAAGUAACUGUGCACAUCUUGACGGUACCUAAUCAGAAAGCCACGGCUAACUACGUG
rnacentral:rRNA from 1 species